GAUGAACGCUGGCGGCGUGCCUAAUACAUGCAAGUCGAGCGAACGGACGAGAAGCUUGCUUCUCUGAUGUUAGCGGCGGACGGGUGAGUAACACGUGGAUAACCUACCUAUAAGACUGGGAUAACUUCGGGAACCGUAGCUAAUACCGGAUAAUAUUUUGAACCGCAUGGUUCAAAAGUGAAAGACGGUCUUGCUGUCACUUAUAGAUGGAUCCGCGCUGCAUUAGCUAGUUGGUAAGGUAACGGCUUACCAAGGCAACGAUGCAUAGCCGACCUGAGAGGGUGAUCGGCCACACGGGAACUGAGACACGGUCCAGACUCCUACGGGAGGCAGCAGUAGGGAAUCUUCCGCAAUGGGCGAAAGCCUGACGGAGCAACGCCGCGUGAGUGAUGAAGGUCUUCGGAUCGUAAAACUCUGUUAUUAGGGAAGAACAUAUGUGUAAGUAACUGUGCACAUCUUGACGGUACCUAAUCAGAAAGCCACGGCUAACUACGUG
rnacentral:rRNA from 1 species